rnacentral:rRNA from 1 species
GACGAACGCUGGCGGCGCGCUUAACACAUGCAAGUCGAGCGAGAACCUGGGCUUCGGCCCAGGGGACAGCGGCGAACGGGUGAGUAUCACGUGGAUAACCUGCCCUCGGCACCGGGAUAGCCCGGGGAAACUCGGAUUAAUACCGGAUAGCCAUUCCGACUCUCGGGUCGGUCUGAAAAGGUAGCUUCGGCCUCUGGCCGAGGAUGGGUCCGCGGCGGAUUAGCUUGUUGGUGGGGUAACGGCCUACCAAGGCGACGAUCCGUAGCUGGUCUGAGAGGACGAUAAGCCACACUGGGACUGAGACACGGCCCAGACUCCUACGGGAGGCAGCAGUGGGGAAUCUUGCGCAAUGGGCGAAAGCCUGACGCAGCGACGCCGCGUGAGGGAGGAAGGCCUUCGGGUUGUAAACCUCUUUCAGGAGGGACGAAGCUACUCGGGUGAAUAGCCCAGAGGGUGACGGUACCUCCAGAAGAAGCCCCGGCUAACUACGUGCCAGCAGCCGCCGUAAAAC